ensembl:lncRNA
AUUAAAUUUGGAGGCUGAGUUCCCAGCGUCAAUCAUUUGCAGUUGGACAGAGGAAAAAGAGAACCAGAACAGAGCUGCUGGGAGGAGGCUGAGCUGGGCGUGGGGACCUCUGAAGGCAAGACUGGGCUGAGGAACUGCCCCGUGCAGAUAUCUAUUCAUUCUUGCCCAUCUCUUGAAGAUGUGACAUCUUGCUCCCAAUCUCCUCUGUGACAUGCCUGGCUGGUGUUAAGCUUGACUUCUAAACUGAAAGAUUAAGAGGCAUAUUACUGGGCUCUAGGGUAGAGGAUCUUUUUAAGAAAAUUAGAGACACCAAGGGAACAUUUCAUGCAAAGAUGGGCUUGGUAAAGGACAGAAAUGGUAUGGACCUAACAGAAGCAGAAGAUAUUAAGAAGAGGUGGCAAGAAUACACAGAAGAACUGUACAAAAAAGAUCUUCACGACCCAUCACAAUGGUGUGAUCACUCACCUAGAGCCAGACAUCCUGGAAUGUGAAGUCAAGUGGGCCUUAGAAAGCAUCACUACGAACACAGCUAGUGGAGGUGAUGGAAUUCCAGCUGAGCUAUUUCAAAUCCUGAAAGAUGAUGCUGUGAAAGUGCUGCACUCAACAUGCCAGCAAAUUUGGAAAACUCAGCAGUGGCCACAGGACUGGAAAAGGUCAGUUUUCAUUCUAAUCCCAAAGAAAGGCAAUGCCAAAGAAUGUUCAAACUACUGCACAAUUGCACUCAUCUCACACAUGAGUAAAGUAAUGCUCAAAAUUCUCCAAGCCAGGCUUCAGCAAUACGUGAACCGUGAACUCCCUGAUGUUCAAGCUGGUUUUAGAAAAGGCAGAGGAACCAGAGAACAAAUUGCCAAUAUCCGCUGGAUCGUCGAAAAAGCAAGAGAGUUCCAGAAAACAUCUAUUUCUGCUUUAUUGACUAUGCCAAAGCCGUUGACUGUGUGGAUCACAAUAAGGAUUGGACUGACCUUUUCCAGUUCUGUGGCCACUGCUGAGUUUUCCAAAUUUGCUGGCAUAUUGAGUGCAGUACUUUCACAGCAUCAUCUUUCAGGAUUUGAAAUAGCUCCACUGGAAUUCCAUCACCUCCACUAGACUGCAUAGGCCGGAUCUUCUGGAGCAAAGACUUCACAGCAACCAGAGACUGCUGACACCCAAACAGGUGUCCUGAACCCCAGCUUUCCCCCUGGCUCCUGCCUUCCUGAUCCAGCUCUUCACUUGACAUCUCCCCAUAAGUGUUUAAAAACAUCUCAAGGAACUCCCUGGCGGCGUAGUGGUUAGGAGUCUGCACUUUCCUGUAAGCCAAAAAAAAAAAGAGGAAAAAAAGGUAGCAUUCCUUUUGGGAAUCUCCUGGUUGUCCAGUGGUUAGAACCCGGCACUCCCACUGCUGAGGGCCCAGUUUCCAUCCCUGACCAGGGCGCUAAGAUCCUAUAGGUCCUGCGGUACAGCCAAAAAAUGAAGUGAAACAAUCUCAGAUUUAGUAGAACCCAAGCAGAGCACUUCAUCUCCUCUCCACUCACCCUACUGUUCCUGAUGUCCACCCCAGCUCUGUUAAAGAAAAUUCCAGGCCUCUGUUGGCUCUGGCCAAAACCUGGGAGCAGCCUUGACUGCUCCCAUCGCUCAGCUACUCUUUCUUCUCCUGAGCAAAUCCUGUCGACUGCCUUCAACGUUUACUCAGAACCUACUAGAUGAACCUCAGCCAUUCUCUCUCCCUUGCUUCAGCGCCUCAUCAUUCCUUACCCAGAUUGUUACAAUGACCUGAAGCUGUUUUCACUGUUUUCAUUCUUGCCCUACCCCACCCCACUUUACUCUUAGGAUAGAAACUCUGUUAAAACAGACCACAUCAUCCCUCACCACGAAGCAGCC